GAAACGAUGCUAAGACUGGAUAGGAAAUAAAAAGGCAUCUUUUUAUUUUUAAAAGACCUUUUUCGGAAGGUAUGCUUAAAGAGGGGCUUGCGUCACAUUAGUUAGUUGGCAGGGUAAAGGCCUACCAAGACUAUGAUGUGUAGCUGGACUGAGAGGUUGAACAGCCACAUUGGGACUGAGACACGGCCCAAACUCCUACGGGAGGCAGCAGUAGGGAAUUUUCGGCAAUGGAGGAAACUCUGACCGAGCAACGCCGCGUGAACGAUGAAGUAUUUCGGUAUGUAAAGUUCUUUUAUUGAAGAAGAAAAAAUAGUGGAAAAACUAUCUUGACGAUAUUCAAUGAAUAAGCCCCGGCAAACUAUGUGCCAGCAGCCGCGGUAAUACAUAGGGGGCGAGCGUUAUCCGGAAUUAUUGGGCGUAAAGGGUGCGUAGGCGGUUUAAUAAGUCUAUAGUUUAAUUUCAGUGCUUAACACUGUCCUGCUAUAGAAACUAUUAGACUAGAGUGAGAUAGAGGCAAGUGGAAUUCCAUGUGUAGCGGUAAAAUGCGUAAAUAUAUGGAGGAACACCAGAGGCGUAGGCGGCUUGCUGGGUCUUUACUGACGCUGAGGCACGAAAGCGUGGGGAGCAAACAGGAUUAGAUACCCUGGUAGUCCACGCCGUAAACGAUGAGUACUAAGUGUCGGGAUUACUCGGUACUGAAGUUAACACAUUAAGUACUCCGCCUGAGUAGUACGUACGCAAGUAUGAAACUUAAAGGAAUUGACGGGACUCCGCACAAGCGGUGGAUCAUGUUGUUUAAUUCGAAGAUACACGAAAAACCUUACCAGGUCUUGACAUACUCUGCAAAGCUAUAGCAAUAUAGUGGAGGUUAUCAGGGAUACAGGUGGUGCAUGGUUGUCGUCAGCUCGUGUCGUGAGAUGUUAGGUUAAGUCCUAAAACGAGCGCAACCCUUGUCAUUAGUUGCCAGCAUGUCAUGAUGGGCACUUUAAUGAGACUGCCAAUGAAAAAUUGGAGGAAGGUGAGGAUCACGUCAAAUCAUCAUGCCCCUUAUGAUCUGGGCUACAAACGUGAUACAAUGGCUGUUACAAAGAGUAGCUGAAACGCAAGUUUAUAGCCAAUCUCAUAAAAGCAGUCUCAGUUCGGAUUGAAGUCUGCAACUCGACUUCAUGAAGUUGGAAUCGCUAGUAAUCGCGAAUCAGCAUGUCGCGGUGAAUACGUUCUCGGGGUUUGUACACACCGCCCGG
rnacentral:rRNA from 1 species